UUUCUUAAUUGGAUAAGCACUCAUAUAAUCGUGGGGAUAUGGCUCACAAGUUUCUACCGAGUAACCGUAAAUUACUCGACUAUGGGUGGAGUUUAUAUGUAG
rnacentral:ncRNA from 2 species